GGCUACAGCCAUGUACCUGAACAUGCCCAAUCUCAUCUGAUCUCAGAAGCUAAAAAGGGUCAGACCUGGUUAGUACUUGGAUGGGAGAAAAUGAAGGUGGAGAUAGUUC
rnacentral:rRNA from 1 species